UACGGGGGGGGCAAGCGUUGUUCGGAAUUACUGGGCGUAAAGGGCGCGUAGGCGGUUCGGUAAGUCCUGUGUGAAAUCCCUCGGCUCAACUGAGGAACUGCACGGGAGACUGCCGGGCUUGAGUUCGGGAGAGGGAAGCGGAAUUCCGGGUGUAGCGGUGAAAUGCGUAGAUAUCCGGAGGAACACCGGUGGCGAAGGCGGCUUCCUGGACCGACACUGACGCUGAGGCGCGAAAGCUAGGGGAGCGAACGGG
rnacentral:rRNA from 1 species